ensembl:snRNA
GUGUUGUAUGAAAGGAAAAAAGGUUAGCACUCCCCUUGACAAGGAUGGAAGAGGCUCUCGAGCCUGACAACAUGUAUAUGGUUAAAGAAUUUAAUGAUAAUGACACUAUCACACAUCAAAAUGUAUC